rnacentral:rRNA from 1 species
ACUCCUACGGGAGGCAGCAGUGGGGAAUAUUGCACAAUGGGCGCAAGCCUGAUGCAGCCAUGCCGCGUGUGUGAAGAAGGCCUUCGGGUUGUAAAGCACUUUCAGUCGUGAGGAAGGUAGUGUAGUUAAUAGCUGCAUUAUUUGUACGUUAGCGACAGAAGAAGCACCGGCUAACUCCGUGCCAGCAGCCGCGGUAAUACGGAGGGUGCGAGCGUUAAUCGGAAUUACUGGGCGUAAAGCGCAUGCAGGUGGUUUGUUAAGUCAGAUGUGAAAGCCCGGGGUCUCAACCUCGGAAUAGCAUUUGAAACUGGCAGACUAGAGUACUGUAGAGGGGGUAGAAUUUCAGGUGUAGCGGUGAAAUGCGUAGAGAUCGUGAAGGUAAUACCGGUGGCGAAGGCGGCCCCGUGGACAGAUACUGACACUCAGAUGCGAAAGCGUGGGAGCAAACGAGGAUUAGACUACCC